UAGGGAAUCUUCGGCAAUGGGGGGGACCCUGACCGAGCAACGCCGCGUGAGUGAAGAAGGUUUUCGGAUCGUAAAGCUCUGUUGUUAAGGAAAAACGAGUGUGAGAAUGGAAAGUUCAUGCUGUGACGGUACUUAACCAGAAAGGGACGGCUAACUACGUGCCAGCAGCCGCGGUAAUACGUAGGUCCCGAGCGUUGUCCGGAUUUGUUGGGCGUAAAGCGAGCGCAGGCGGUUAGAAAAGGCUGAAGUGAAAGGCAGUGGCUCAACCAUUGUAGGCUUUGGAAACUGUUGAACUUGAGUGCAGAAGGGGAGAGUGGAAUUCCAUGUGUAGCGGUGAAAUGCGUAGAUAUAUGGAGGAACACCGGUGGCGGAAGCGGCUCUCUGGUCUGUAACUGACGCUGAGGCUCGAAAGCGUGGGGAGCGAACAGG
rnacentral:rRNA from 1 species